rnacentral:rRNA from 1 species
GAGUUUGAUCCUGGCUCAGAUUGAACGCUGGCGGCAUGCUUUACACAUGCAAGUCGAACGGUAACGCGGGGGCAACCCUGGCGACGAGUGGCGAACGGGUGAGUAAUACAUCGGAACGUGUCCUGGAGUGGGGGAUAGCUCGGCGAAAGCCGGAUUAAUACCGCAUACGCUCUGAGGAGGAAAGCGGGGGACCUUCGGGCCUCGCGCUGCGGGAGCGGCCGAUGUCGGAUUAGCUAGUUGGUGGGGUAAAGGCCUACCAAGGCGACGAUCCGUAGCUGGUCUGAGAGGAUGAUCAGCCACACUGGGACUGAGACACGGCCCAGACUCCUACGGGAGGCAGCAGUGGGGAAUUUUGGACAAUGGGGGCAACCCUGAUCCAGCCAUGCCGCGUGAGUGAAGAAGGCC